rnacentral:lncRNA from 10 species
AAAUAGUAAGCACUUAAUAAAUGACACCUAUUACAAUGGCAUCUUUAAUUCCCAUAGAAAACAUUUUAUUACUUUAAUCUUUCUAAGGCUGUAGCUGCUUGCAAAGGUUGUUAAGUUUCCUGUGCUACAUGAAUCACCAAUAUCUGAGUAGUUCAUGUGCUCUCAUGUAUUGUAUAAUGGACAAUGGCAUCCCAGUUGCAGCACAAUAAGAAUGUAUAUCACAUCCAGUUUAAAUUGAGUGUUCCAAGUAUGUUAAGAUAUGGAAUGGGAGUUGUCAAUUAAAUGGAGCUAUCACUCCAUUAUCAACCAAGAUUCCAAUGCAUAUGCUAACGUCAAUGAGUUAGAGAUUCCAGAGUGAGACAGUUAAUAGACCUGUGAGUUUCUCCCUGCUCUCCUAUAAUUGAGCUUUGAGGCCUUAUGCUGAACAGAAGUUAUCUAGGUGGAAUGGAAUAAAUCCCCAGGGUUUCUAACCAAGCCCAAGUCUAACCCAGCUGCAGGAAAGCUCAUUUAACUUGCAGACCUUUGCAUCAGCUUCUCACAAGCUCCUCCUUCCUGAGGAUUGUGUUCUCAGCAUUCAUCUCUCACCCUCACCAUGGAACCGUACUCUGAUGAGCAUCUAAGAAACACAGAAACUCAGAAAUGAAACCAUGUGGCUCUGGCACUGCUGACAUAGAAUCACUGAUAUUUCAAAUAUCAGACUUCUCAAAAAGAAGCUCCAAGAAAUGGAAUUUUAUUAAAAGAUGGAAGAGGAGGAUAUUUGAGAGAAGGGGAACUACCUAAUACUGAAAACUAAUACAGUCCAGGAUACAUAGAAGAUGAUCAAUAACACUUAUUCAAUCUAAAUUACCCUAUCAGCAAGUGGAGAAUUCUCUCUCGGGAGUGCUGUUUUCUUUCCUGCCAGUCAGCUCUGUCAGGUUGAAUAGAAAGCGAUAAAUAAAGAGGAAAAGAAUUCAUUUUGUGCCCUUGCUGCACUGUUGCUUUUUCCUGCUGCACCACCAGUAAUAGAAAACUAGGCUGUGAGCAUUUCAGUGCUAAUGCACUCCAGUGGCUUUUCUGCCUUGGCCUUCUAGCUUUCUCCUCAUUGCAUCACACUACUGAUUGGAGAAAAAUAUGCCAGUCUGUGCUGUGUUUCCCCAAACAACUUUUUUAUUUUGCAGGGUAGAAAGAACUGAUGAUAAUGGGCUCUAUAAAAAAGGGAUAAACAAAGGCAUUUUCAUCAAGGGCCUUCUUUCUAAAAGGCUUUCCAAAUAGCCUAUUUUAAAAAAUGAACAAACACCCAUAAACCCAUAGAACAAUAGUACACUAGACAUACAUUUAAAGAGCAUGUCUCCAUUAAAAACAGCUAUGUCAGAAACAGGCACCUGAGUUUCUGGGGAAAUAUACAUGAUAGAAAAAUCUUAAACCUGGCCAAGUUCUCCAAGUUGAUCUUCUUUGUUCUUGUAGGAUUUGAUGACAUUCAACCAUGUUCAUCUACUUUUCCAUCUUGUUCUACAGGUGGACUAUCUAUUUAUAUAUUUUUAAAAGACAGCCAGGAAAAAUUGAUUGAUUAAGAAAGGUUUUCUUAACCUUUAUUUGUGGUAAGAACAUUUAAGAUCUCUCUUAGAAAAUUUCAAGUAAAAACACAGUAUUGUUAACUCCAGUCACCAUAUUGUAUAUUAAAUUUAGAUCCCUAGAACUUACUCGUAUAUUAGAUUUAGAUCCCCAGAAUGUACUCAUCUUAUAACUGAAAGUUUAUACACUUUGACCAAUAUCUCCUUAUUUCCCCCACUCCCUUACCCCUGGCAAACACCAUGCUACUUUCUAUUUCUAUGUGUUUACCUUUUUUAGGUUCCCUAUAUAAGUGAUACCAUAUAGUGUUUGUUUUUCUGAUUUUUUUUAAAUGAAAGAGCUAGGGCCAACUUCCAUUCUUUGAUGUAAAGAUUAAAAACGGUGGAUAUAUUGUGGUAUGACCUAAGGCAUAGGCAGGGCUGCAAGCUAGAGGUGCCCAUGUGAUCAAGGACAAUGGUGCACAGGUCACUAGUCAUCACUAUUUCCUGUCAUCGGUGGGACUGCAAACUAGCACAUUUUUAGUGACAUUACUCAUAAGCACACUGUGGUUGUUUAAAUUGGUAGGGAUGAUAAUGAGAGUAAUUUGUGGGUAAUUAAGUCUCUCCUUUCCACCUGACAGUUAUGCAAACUAGAAGGAGAUGAACAGCAUAGUUAUGUGUUUCUUCAACUAAGAAACAUUUCAUAAGAAUUUUGAGUAAUGUGGGUAGGUGAUUAAAAUGUUAAAGUGGAAAAAGUUAGAAACUGUUAUGUUUUUAAAAAAGUUUUAUUGAGGUGUUAUUUACAUACCAUAAAGUUCACCCAUUUUAAGCAUACAAUUCAGUGAAUUUUAGUAUAUUUACAGAGUUGUACAAUCAUCACAAUCUAGUUUUAGAACAUUUCCAUUAUUCAAAAAAAAGUCAUUUGUGUCCAUUUACAGUUACUCCCGAUUUCCACCUCCAGUCCUAGGCAGCCACUAAUCUACUUUCUGUCUCUAUAUACGGUUUUUAUCUUUCCGGGACAUUUCAUUUAAAUAAAAUCAUACAGUGGG